CAUGCAAGUCGAACGAGAUGCCUUCGGGCAUCUAGUGGCGAACGGGUGAGUAACACGUGAGGAACCUGCCCCGAAGACGGGGAUAACCGUGGGAAACUGCGGCUAAUACCCGAUGACCCCGAUGCGGCGCAUGCCGCGACGAGGAAAUGCUCCGGUGCUUCGGGAGAGCCUCGCGGCCUAUCAGCUAGUUGGUGAGGUAACGGCUCACCAAGGCUUCGACGGGUAGCUGGUCUGAGAGGACGAUCAGCCACACUGGGACUGAGACACGGCCCAGACUCCUGCGGGAGGCAGCAGUGGGGAAUCUUGCGCAAUGGGCGAAAGCCUGACGCAGCCACGCCGCGUGGGGGACGAAGGCCCUCGGGUUGUAAACCCCUUUCAGCAGGGACGAAACUGACGGUACCUGCAGAAGAAGCUCCGGCCAACUACGUGCCAGCAGCCGCGGUAACACGUAGGGAGCAAGCGUUGUCCGGAUUCAUUGGGCGUAAAGGGCUCGUAGGCGGUUUGGUAAGUCAGGUGUGAAAGCUCAGGGCUCAACUCUGAGAAGCCAUCUGAAACUGCCAUGACUAGAGUUCGGUAGAGGAGCGUGGAAUUUCCGGUGUAGCGGUGAAAUGCUCAGAUAUCGGGAGGAACACCAGCAGCGAAGGCGGCGCUCUGGGCCGAAACUGACG
rnacentral:rRNA from 1 species